rnacentral:rRNA from 1 species
UGGGGAAUAUUGGACAAUGGGCGCAAGCCUGAUCCAGCCAUGCCGCGUGAGUGAUGAGGGCCCUAGGGUUGUAAAGCUCUUUCACCGGUGAAGAUAAUGACGGUAACCGGAGAAGAAGCCCCGGCUAACUUCGUGCCAGCAGCCGCGGUAAUACGAAGGGGGCUAGCGUUGUUCGGAUUUACUGGGCGUAAAGCGCACGUAGGCGGACUAUUAAGUCAGGGGUGAAAUCCCGGGGCUCAACCCCGGAACUGCCUUUGAUACUGGUAGUCUUGAGUUCGAGAGAGGUGAGUGGAAUUCCGAGUGUAGAGGUGAAAUUCGUAGAUAUUCGGAGGAACACCAGUGGCGAAGGCGGCUCACUGGCUCGAUACUGACGCUGAGGUGCGAAAGCGUGGGGAGCAAACAGG